AUAGCGUAUAUUAAAGUUGUUGCAGUUAAAAAGCUCGUAGUUGGAUUUCAAGGUGGAGGUGAGGCAACUCGCCGAAGCUUAUCAGUCCGAAAGGACUGUUACUGUGAGAAAAUUAGAGUGUUUCAAGCAGGCUAUUGCAGGAAUACAUUAGCAUGGAAUAACGAAUGUGUCUAGAAUCUUGGUUAAUUCUAGAUUACGAUUAAUAGGGACAGUUGGGGGCAUUAGUAUUUAAUUGUCAGAGGUGAAAUUCUUGGAUUUGUUAAAGACUAACGUAUG
rnacentral:rRNA from 1 species